rnacentral:rRNA from 1 species
CUACGGGCGGCUCCAGUGGGGGAUAUUGCACAAUGGGGGAAACCCUGAUGCAGCGAUGCCGCGUGGAGGAAGAAGGUUUUCGGAUUGUAAACUCCUGUCCUCAGGGACGAUAAUGACGGUACCUGAGGAGGAAGCACCGGCUAACUACGUGCCAGCAGCCGCGGUAAUACGUAGGGUGCAAGCGUUGUCCGGAAUUACUGGGUGUAAAGGGAGCGUAGGCGGGAUGGCAAGUCAGAUGUGAAAACUAUGGGCUUAACCCAUAGAUUGCAUUUGAAACUGUUGUUCUUGAGUGAAGUAGAGGUUGGCGGAAUUCCUAGUGUAGCGGUGAAAUGCGUAGAUAUUAGGAGGAACAUCAGUGGCGAAGGCGGCCAACUGGGCUUUUACUGACGCUGAGGCUCGAAAGCGUGGGGAGCAAACAGGAUUAGAUACCCUUGUAGUC